GACGAACGCUGGCGGCGUGCUUAACACAUGCAAGUCGAGCGGUAAGGCCCUUUCGUGGGUACACGAGCGGCGAACGGGUGAGUAACACGUGGGUGACCUGCCCUCAGUUCUGGGAUAAGCCUGGGAAACCGGGUCUAAUACCGGAUAUGACUCCAUGACGCAUGUUGUGGGGUGGAAAGCCUUGUGCGGCUGAGGAUGGGCCCGCGGCCUAUCAGCUUGUUGGUGGGGUGAUGGCCUACCAAGGCGACGACGGGUAGCCGGCCUGAGAGGGCGACCGGCCACACUGGGACUGAGACACGGCCCAGACUCCUACGGGAGGCAGCAGUGGGGAAUCUUGCGCAAUGGGCGAAAGCCUGACGCAGCGACGCCGCGUGAGGGAUGAC
rnacentral:rRNA from 1 species